rnacentral:rRNA from 1 species
UACGUAGGGGGCAAGCGUUGUCCGGAAUCAUUGGGCGUAAAGAGCGUGUAGGCGGCCAGAUAAGUCCGCUGUGAAAUCUCGAGGCUCAACUUCGAGCUGUCGGUGGAAACUGUCUGGCUAAAGUCCGGAAGAGGAGAAUGGAAUUCCUGGUGUAGCGGUGAAAUGCGCAGAUAUCAGGAAGAACACCCGUGGCGAAGGCGGUUCUCUGGGACGGUACUGACGCUGAGACGCGAAAGCGUGGGGAGCAAACAGG